CUCUUUUUUCUUUGUUCGCUUUCCUUUUUCAUAUCACGGUGUCGAAAUGUAUCGAAAUGUAUGUAAUUAUGGUCAUCGCCUUCUCGCCUGAAUAAUUUCUCUGUUCUGGAGAAAUUUUGAUCUGGUGCUCGAGUUUCCUGGUUGGAGUUGUAACAAGGUGCAUGUGGUGGUUUGAGGAGAAGAUAGGCUCUCCCCUAUACUCUUAUUCGAUUAUAAACAGAUGAUGUCUCUAUCAAGAGGAGGAGCGUUGAAUCCUCUCUGAACCGGGGCUCAGCGUCUUGUCUUGGUGUAUGGAUGCGUUUUGUGCUCAUUGGAGUUGUCAGGUUCGCUCUGCCGAUGGGUUACAAGGUCUCCUGAUGAUUAUGAGUAUCCAGUCUAGUUGGAGUUCUAGCGUUUGUGGCUUUAGAGUUACGGGUUUCUUUGUCGGCUAUGUCAGUCUCAAUCUUCUCUCCGAUGAUCACACUUCAUAUUGCAUGUCCUCCUUGUGAUCUGGUUUCAAUUUUGGCCGGUUUCACUCGUUUGGAUUUUGGGCUUGUCAGAUUCGUUUCAUCUUCUAACUUUUGUAUCUCCAGCGUUGUGUGCCAGUGAUAUGCAAAGAAGAUUGGAUGGGGUUUUCUUGUUCAGACCAAAACAUCGUUUUUCAACCAUGAUAAAGUUUUUCCGCUGAUAUUUAUCGUAGAGGCCUGGGUGGGAUAUAGUCAUCAUAGUGUCAGGAUGUUCUUUUGGAUGUUUUGGUAGACUAGUCUUCUUCCUUUUUGCAGAAUCUGAUAUAUAUAUAUAUAUAUAUAUAUAUAUAUAUAUAUAUAUAUAUAUAUGUUGUCUUCCUGCCCCGCCUUGUUACAAAGUGUUUUUCAUUUUUGUUCUUCUAGGAUUGAGACAGUUUCCACUCUUAACCGA